rnacentral:misc_RNA from 1 species
GGUUCUCAUUUUUUUCACUCUUUUUUAGGCAGCGUGAGACAGACGUAGUUUUAAGUAGUUUCUUUUUAGAAACAUAUAUAGACAUAGAUACUUUUUGGAAAGAAGAAAAGUUAAUCUUGAUUUUUGAAAUACUUUUAUGUAUGGUUACUAAACUUUAUUAUGGAAUAUUUUGCUCCUGAAUAUUAGGUUGAUGCAUUUUCUAUGCACAUACCAAAUUUCAGCAAAAAAUAAUUAUAAGCAAUUAGUCUAAUUAGUGUUAUACCAAGUAUACCACUUUUUUUAGGUAGCCCUAGGCAAACGAUUUUUUGAGGUGGUUUUUUUUAGAAACAUAUAUAAACCUUGACGACUUUUGAAAGAAGAAAGAUUAGGCUUGAUUUUUAUAAACUAUUGUGUAUCGCUAACAUACCUUUUUAUGUAGUAUUUUGCUGAGAAUUUUGCAUGGAAAUUUGGCUAUGUUGUAACAUGAAUUUGUAGUCGAAGAAAUAUAGAGUCUGCUUUUUUUAUUAUUAAAAUAGUUUUCUUCAUGCAUUUUCUAUGAACAUGCCAAAUUUCAACGAAAAAUAAUUAUAAGCAAUUAGUCUAAUUAGUGUUGGACUUUAGGUACCUAAUUUCGGUUUUUCUGUUGUUGUUUGUUUUGGUAAGCAAAAUCCGGUAGGCGCCGAAAUCCGGAUAAGGAGGUGUUUCAACUAAUAAUCUUAUUUUGAAUUAUUGUGAUAUAUAUUAUUAUAUUUAAAAAAAUAUGGCAAAUUAUAGCAAAAAUGUGUUAGAUGUCCUAACAGAAAAUCCUGCCCGGCUUUUUAAUGAUUUUUUGAGAUUUCUCGAAUCUACACAGCCCAUCACUGUUACAUCUUCAGCACCUACUAUAACUAUUCCAUGUGUUCAACCUUCUGCUGUUGAAUCUACACAGCCUAUCACAGCUACAUUUACGUGUUCAACGAAUGUUCCUUCUACAUCUGCUAUUUGUGUUACAUCUUCUGCGCCUUCUAUGACUCUUCCAGGUGUUCAACCUUCUGCUGUUGAAAAAGUAUAUUAGGGCAAGCAAAAUGUUCAUUCGAGCUUUUUGGAUUGAAAAUACAGAGAAAUAAAGAGAGAAAAUUUGAUUGAUAAUUUUUUGUGCUGGCCAUCAUGGUUAAAUGUAAUAAAUUGUUUGAAUGAAAUGCAUAAACCACAGUCUAACUAAUGCAGAUUUAAGCUGCUCAAAAUUUAAUAUCAUGGAGAUAAUAUCAUGAGUUAUGUGAUAAAUUUGAAUUUGCUACUACUAGUGAUAUUCAGAUAGAAUCAGAUUCAGAAAACGGUAACUAUUUUAAAUGAUACUUAAUUCAAGUAUUAUUAGUUUUAUUUUGAUAUUAAGUUUUAUAGGAGCCACUACCAUGCUUAAGCAA